rnacentral:rRNA from 1 species
GCCUACGGGGCGCAGCAGUGAGGAAUAUUGGUCAAUGGCCGAGAGGCUGAACCAGCCAAGUCGCGUGAGGGAAGACGGCCCUACGGGUUGUAAACCUCUUUUGUCGGGGAGCAAAGAGAGCCACGUGUGACUCAUUGAGAGUACCCGAAGAAAAAGCAUCGGCUAACUCCGUGCCAGCAGCCGCGGCAAUACGGAGGAUGCGAGCGUUAUCCGGAUUUAUUGGGUUUAAAGGGUGCGUAGGCGGCGGUGCAAGUCAGCGGUGAAAUUGCGGGGCUCAACC